UCCUAACCUCUUAAUAGCUGAACAAAUUUUGGUUAAUCUAUCAUUGCCAAACAAAAAAACUGUUUUAGCUUUACCAAUAUCUGUAAAUAUACCCACAAUUCCUAGAGAGUUAAUCCUAAUAUUGUCUCCUAUGCAGAAAACAGGUCAUAUCUUAACCUCUUAAUAGCUGAACAAAUCUUGGUUAAUCUAUCAUUGCCAAACAAAGAAACUGUUUUAGCUUUACCAAUAUCUGAAGAUAAUUCCACAAUUCCUAGAGAGUUAUUCCUAAUAUUGUCUCCUAUGCAGAAAACAGGCCCUAUCUUAACCUCUUAAUAGCUUAACAAAUUUUGGUUAAUCUAUCAUUGCCAAACAAAGAAACUGUUUUAGCUUUACAUCUGAAGAUAAUUCCACAAUUCCUAGAGAGUUAUUCCUAAUAUUGUCUCCUAUGCAGAAAACAGGCCCUAUCUUAACCUCUUAAUAUCUGAACAAAUUUUGGUUAAUCUAUCAUUGCCAAACAAAUAAACUGUUUUAGCUUUACCAAUAUCUGAAGAUAAUCACACAAUUCCUAGAAAGUUAAUCCUAAUAUUGUCUCCUAUGCAAAAAACAGGCCUAUCUUAACUUCUUAAUAGCUGAACAAAUUUUGGUUAAUCUAUCAUUGCCAAACAAAGAAACUGUUUUAGCUUUACCAAUAUCUGAAGAUAAUUCCACAAUUCCUGGAGAGUUAUUCCUAAUAUUGUCUCCUAUGCAGAAAACAGGCCCUAUCUUAACCUCUUAAUAGCUGAACAAAUCUUGGUUAAUCUAUCAUUGCCAAACAAAGAAACUGUUUUAGCUUUACCAAUAUCUGAAGAUAAUUCACACAAUUCCUGGAGAGUUAUUCCUAAUAUUGUUUCCUAUGCAGAAAACAGGCCCUAUCUUAACCUCUUAAUAGCUGAACAAAUCUUGGUUAAUCUAUCAUUGCCAAACAAAGAAACUGUUUUAGCUUUACCAAUAUCUGAAGAUAAUUCCACAAUUCCUAGAGAGUUAUUCCUAAUAUUGUCUCCUAUGCAGAAAACAGGCCCUAUCUUAACCUUUUAAUAGCUUAACAAAUUUUGGUUAAUCUAUCAUUGCCAAACAAAGAAACUAUUUUAGCUUUACAUCUGAAGAUAAUUCCACAAUUCCUAGAGAGUUAUUCCUAAUAUUGUCUCCUAUGCAGAAAACAGGCCCUAUCUUAACCUCUUAAUAGCUGAACAAAUUUUGGUUAAUCUAUCAUUGCCAAACAAAUAAAGAGAUGAUUGUUUAAUGAGCAAAAUAAAUAUCCCCAAAUAAUCGAAGUCCUAAUUUCUAAACAAUAAAAAAAUCCCUCACAUUGCUACAAAACAUGAUGAAUCUAUUAUUAAAGAUACGCAAAGAAAAUAAUGACGAUUAAACAAACCCCUUACCAGUUCUAGAGUUACUGGUAUACAAAAUAAUAAAGAACUACGCUUGAAAUGAACUCAUCUGGAGGAGUUAAUAUAAAUAUUACUUUAUCCGAUUCUCUGAGAAACUUUCAUGAAUAUUUAGAGGAAUGUUCAAACUUGAAUGUACAGUACGACCAAUUUCAUCAACUUUAUUAAUGGAAAAAUAUGCAGUAUUUCUGUCGUGGCCUUUAUAACAAUACUUACGAUCCGGUUGAGUUAACAUUGUCGUUCAUGAUUCUAUUUUAGAAGGGGAUACCAAUGCUGACAUUGACAGAAAUAUCGUUUUGCGUGUUCAAACUUGAAUGUACAGUACAGCCAAUUUCAUCAACUUUACUAAUGGAAAAUUAUGCAGUAGUUCUGUCGUGGCCUUUAUAACAAUACUUACGACCGUUUUAUGGUUUAGUUAACAUUGUCGUUCAUGAUUCUAUUUUAAAGGGGGAUAUCAAUGCUGACAUUGACAGAAAUAUCGUUUUGCGUUCUUCUUUUACCAGUAUCCCAAGGCAUAGGCAUAUCAUCUUUAUCAGGACGUAUUGUGUUUUGUACACUGCUUUGGUAAUCCGUCAUUACUUUCAUCUACAACCCUAAAUGAUAUAAAAUUUUACAUUAAUUAUUUCCUCUCCAGAUGACCGCCCAGAUUUAUUUUGUCACUUUCUCCAUCAAAAAUUAAAAUUUCAACAAGG